GGACAGAUGGCCGAGCUGGUAAAUCAAUUCUUUCUGAAGUUAGUUGUUGAAUAUUAACAGUUUACAGGUUAUGGCGGUAUGUACAAAUUAAAUUCAAUAGGUUAUUAAUUAUGCUAAAUAAAUGCUAGCCAGGUUAAGGUCUCCUUAGCACAAUUUCCUGGUCACGAAAGUGGCGCGAGUUCGAGUCUCGCUCUGUUCA